CUACGCGUUUGUAGGCGUGCUCCGUUGUAUGUUAGUGAAGUUGUUAAAAUUAAGUAUUACGGGCGAGCACACGUUUUGUUAAUCUUCGUAAGUUGCGAGAUAAUAGCUGUUUAUGUUAGCAUUCGUUCGGAGAAGCCACAUCAUGUUUGCCGAGUUGUCGGAAAUCUGAAGCAAGUAAUAAGUGAUGAAUAAUUUGGAGAGGGGCUUGGAGAAUACAUAACAGGAAUGAAUUCUCUGAACCCUAUAAUGGCAUCUGAUUCAGCUGUGGAAAUUGAAAAUCACAGUGAUAAUUCUUCAUCUGGUAGCAGCUUAUUUAAAACUCAGUGUGUCCCUUCCUCACCUAAACCGAGGCAAAGAAACCCUAUCAGAAAAUUUGUUUAUUCACCUGAAAGUGUUCAAGCAAAGGAUUCCUCUAGUGACUCAUCUUUAGAACCAAGACCAUUGACUUUAAAAGCUAUUUUUGAAAGGUUCAAAAAAAAGAAACGUAAAAAGAGGAAAUACAAGCCAACAGGAAGACCAAGGGGAAGACCAAAAGGAAGAAAAAAUACUAGACGCUCCCAAAUAAAUAGGAAACAAGUUAGAGACAAAGGAUCUGGGUUCCCAUUUGUAGAAUCAGAGAAUGGAAGAAAACCACUACCUUGGAGGAAGAUUUUAACCUUUGAGCAAGCAGUGGCAAGAGGAUUUUUCAACUACCUUGAAAAGCUGAAGUAUGAAUACUACCUCAAGGAAUCCUUGAAACAAAUGAAUGUUGGUGAAGAUUUAGAAAAAGAAGAUUUUGACAGUCGUAGAUAUAAAUACUUGGAUGAUGAUGGAUCUCUCUCUCCUAUUGAGUCAGAAGCAGAGGAUGAUCUUGCAACAAAUCUUGAACAUGAUGACGAAUGUGAUAUCAAAUUGGUGGACCAUAAUUAUUUCAUAGUAAGUUCUGAAGUACCAAAGAAGAAGAAUGUGUAUUUAGAACAAGAGGAAUAUACCGAAGAAGCAGCUGUGUCUAAAAGGAGAACAUCAAGGUCCAAAAACAUUGGACAGAGGAUAGAAUGGCCUGAAAAGGAGAUAGGAAUAUGAAUGUUAAGGCUUUUCAUUUGAGAGCACAAUGUCUGGACUUAAAGGUAUUGGAGUAUCCCAAGAAUCUGUAUAGUUCAGGGCGUGCUAGUUUAGGUAAGUUUUUGUUGGGGACAGUGUAAUCUUGGGGGCACCGUUACAGUUCACAUGAUGAAUUUAACUGUUCAACUGCUGAAUGAUUACAGACAUGAACUAAAACUUGAUUCUGAUGGAGCUGACAAUAGCUUAAAAAAAAAACCCAUGGUUGUCAAUUUGGAUGCUAAGCACCUAUUUUAGAUUUUAAUCACACAUUUAAAUUGUUCUUAAUCUUUUAUUUGGUAUUUUAUCUGUAGGGGUGAAUAUGAUUUGAACUCAUUUACGUUUAGAGGGUGUUUGAAAUUGAGAACCAGGGGUCCAUCUAGUCUGACCCUAAACAUGGCCCUAAAGUAAAAAAAAAAAAAAAACUGGAUCCCAAAGAUUGCAGGUAAGAUUUCCCCUCAAGUGCCCAAUCUUACAGAAGUUGAAAGCUUUUUCUUUCAUAACACUUCCUUAAUGUUCCUAAUGCUUUGGUUUACCUAAUUUUGGCAACAGCUAAUCCUGGUGGUUUAUUGUAUCCUAAUUAAAAAAAAAAAAAAACACCCUAGAUAUUAACGUGUGUUUAUACAACUUGCCAGUGAUUUGUGAUGUUAUGAUGAUGGGCAAAAUGUUCAACUGCUCUGACUGGGCUGAAUGAAAGUAGCCUUUCUGAACAUCCAUCUAAAUGAAAUCUGGGGGACACUGGAUGGCUCUGUCAGUUCAGUGACUUCAGCUCAUGACCUCAUGGUUGGUGUAUUUGAGUUUGGGCUCUGGGCUGAUAAGUGCUGAGCCUGCUUGGGAUCCUCUAUCCCUCUCUCUCGUGCCCCUCCCGCACUGGCAUGUUCUUUCUUCCCAAAAUAAAUACAAUAUUUAAAAAAUACGUGGGGGCACCUGGGUGGCUCAGUCAGUUGAGUGUCCAACUUUGGUUCAGGUCAUGAUCUUGUGGUUCAUGAGUUUGAGGUCCGCGUUGGGCUCUGUGCUGACAGAUCAGAGCUUGAAGUGUGUCUCCCUCCUCUUGGCCCCCCCCCCCCCCCAAACAUAAAAAAAAGGAAUGGGUUGAAAAAUUAAUUAUUCCAACUCUGCAUUUUUAAGCCUGGAAAUUUCAAUACGUAUUAGUUCAGAACUGGGUAUCCGGCUACUUUGGAACCUAAUUAAAACCACAUUUUGAGAAAUUUAGUCUAAACUUUAAAAUCGU